rnacentral:rRNA from 1 species
UACGAAGGGGGCUAGCGUUGUUCGGAUUUACUGGGCGUAAAGCGCACGUAGGCGGAUCGUUAAGUCGGGGGUGAAAUCCUGGAGCUCAACUCCAGAACUGCCUUCGAUACUGGCGAUCUUGAGUCCGGAAGAGGUGAGUGGAACUCCUAGUGUAGAGGUGAAAUUCGUAGAUAUUCGCAAGAACACCAGUGGCGAAAGGCGACUCGCUGGACAAGUAUUGACGCUGAGGUGCGAAAGCGUGGGGGAGCAAACAGG